CUGACACCUGCGGCUACCUCACAUUCCUCCACCGAUGUUCAGUAGCGCGUAAUCUUUCUUUUCAAUUCUACACCCUCGCCGCUGACACCCCCUCG
rnacentral:lncRNA from 1 species